AACGAACGCUGGCGGCAUGCCUAACACAUGCAAGUCGAACGAGACCUUCGGGUCUAGUUGCGCACGUGUGCGUAACGCGUGGGAACCUGCCCUUAGGUUCGGAAUAACUCCCCGAGAGGGGUGCUAAUACCGGAUAAUGUCUUCGGACCAAAGAUUUAUCGCCUUUGGAUGGGCCCGCGUUGGAUUAGCUAGUUGGUAGGGUAAACGCCUACCAAGGCGACGAUCCAUAGCUGGUCUGAGAGGAUGCUCAGCCACACUGGGACUGAGACACGGCCCAGACUCCUACGGGAGGAAGCAGUGGGGAAUAUUGGACAAUGGGCGAAAGCCUGAUCCAGCAAUGCCGCGUGAGUGAUGAAGGCCUUAGGGUUGUAAAGCUCUUUUACCCGGGAUGAUAAUGACAGUACCGGGAGAAUAAGCUCCGGCUAACUCCGUG
rnacentral:rRNA from 1 species